ACGAGUAUGUCAGAGUUUGAUCCUGGCUCAGGAUAAACGCUGACAGAAUGCUUAACACAUGCAAGUCAAUGAUGGGAAGCUAAGCCUAGCUUAGAAGAAGUCAUGGCGGACGGGUGAGUAACGUGUAAAGAACUUGCCCUCUAGACUGGGAUAACAGAUGGAAACGUCUGCUAAUACCGCAUACGUUCUUGUUAUCGCAUGAUGAUGAGAAGAAAGGUGGCCUCUUGAAAAAAGCUACCACUGAAGGAGGGGAUUGCGUCUGAUUAGCUAGUUGGAGGGGUAACGGCCCACCAAGGCGAUGAUCAGUAGCCGGUCUGAGAGGAUGAACGGCCACAUUGGGACUGAGACACGGCCCAA
rnacentral:rRNA from 1 species